rnacentral:rRNA from 1 species
CCUACGGGGGGCAGCAGUGGGGAAUAUUGCACAAUGGGCGAAAGCCUGAUGCAGCAACGCCGCGUGAAGGAAGAAGGGUUUCGGCUCGUAAACUUCUAUCAACAGGGACGAAAGAAAUGACGUUACUUGAAUAAGAAGCCCCGGUUAACUACGUGCCAGCAGCCGCGGUAAUCCGUAGGGGGCAAGCGUUUUCCGGAUGUACUGGGUGUAAAGGGUGAGUAGGCGGGAUGGUAAGCCAGAUGUGAAAGCCUUGGGCUUAACCCGGGGACUGCAUUUGGAACUAGCAAGCUAGAGUACAGGAGAGGAAAGCGGAAUUCCUGGUGUAGCGGUGAAAUGCGUAGAUAUUAGGAAGAACACCAGUGGCGAAGGCGGCUUUCUGGACUGAAACUGACGCUGAGGCGCGAAAGCGUGGGGAGCGAACAGGAUUAGAUACCCGUGUAGUC